GUCGCAUGGUGGUUCAACUUUCUCGAGACAGUGGCGAACAUUCGCUUCUACAAUAGCUAACCACAACACAUCAGCAUGGAGCAUAAAUUCAUAACUACUGUGGACAUUCAAACGGUCAGAACUGCAGUUGACAAUAUUGGCCUGAGAUGUACUAUAAACUGUACACUCUAACUGUAUUUGUGCAAAAACUUUUCAUGAAUAAUUUCAGAUUAUUUUCAAUGCGAAGGAAAGUGAAUGUACGUCCUUACAAGUGUUUGCCGAUGAUUUCAGAGUUUGUGGAUUGAUUGUAGAGGAUUGCACGUCAUUUCGGGAUAGAAAGAGAAAAGUACUAUUAUAUUUUGACAAAAUGGAACAUGUUUAUAUAAAUGAAACGAAAUUUUUUGUAACAGAAAAAAGAAUACAGAUUCAGACCAUAAUUAAAUACAGCAUUCUACCUAAUCGUCCAUCGUCAGAGAUUUUCAUUCAAAAGCUGAUUCUGAAGAUUGGCGCAAUCCAGGGUCUCGCAGGAUCUGCCUGUCCGUGGUUCUUGCAAGUUUUGCUCCAUCAAACGACGAUAGAAACUUAGUUCGCUUUGAUCAUCCCCAGAGGUCGAAGAAGAACCUCGACUAUCAACAUCUGUGAGAUGUCGCUCGUGCAGGCUGUCACCACAAAUCGACAGGGUAGAACCCUCCGGGGAAAAAAUACACUGUUUUCUCUCUGCACCUGCAAUAUAAGAAAACUCCGUUUUGCUCUUUUAUCUUUUCAUUUUAAAAAAACUAGCUGCCUCCCUUAGGUAAUCGAUGGCCGUCGAUUUUCACGUGCAAAGAAAACAAGUUAAUCUUAUCACACACCUCUGAAAUAUCUCUAAUAGAAACAUGAACUCAAUUGAUACAUGUAAUUUAACUUCGUUCUAAACAACAUAACUUCUCUUUAGCUAAGUUAAUGGUGAUUACAUUUUAUUACAAAUUAAUAUUGAAAUUAAAUUUGGAAUUAUUAAACAAGGGAGAGUUCCAUAAUGCUAUAAGAAGUCUUAUGGGUAGUGAAAUUAAUACUGCAAUGAAUUCUAAAGAAUACAAUGUCAGACUGCAUCAGGAAAAUGUUUUAAAUGGAAAAAAUGAAAUAUAAUCAGCCGGAUGGUCGAAACUUAUUCAGAUACGACUACAUGUUACUGUCUCAUAGCAAAUAGCUACAUUUUUCUCGAACUCAAUUUCAUGUACUUUAAUCAAAAAUACAUUUUUUUAUUUAGAGCACAAACUGUAGCAGUGAACCCUAGACUAGAGUGAGUGCAGGUUUUGGGGCUGACCUUGGACAAAACUCCCUAGACAAUGGUCCACUCCAAAAGUAAGCAGUUAAGUGCGAGUGAGUGCCCCCCUCUCCCACCCCAAAGCUCCUCUCACUCAAGAUGGAAGAAUGUGGAGAGGUCUAAGAGAUCAAAAGGAUGCUGGGUAUAUGGGUUAUUGUGUAGGAUAGGGUAAGAGAGGAUUUUAGAAGGUGAAAAGGUGAGAGAGGAGAAAACUAGAUGGCAGUCAGAGAAAAAAGGCGACAGGGAAUAUUGAACAGGAUGGAGUGGUGAGGAACAUGGAUGAGUGGUACGAAGGCUAUUGAGUAAAGAGGGUUUUGGGGGAAUGCAAAAGGGGUUAAGGUGGGUUUAGCAGGGUUCAAAGGAACGAGGAAGGUUUUAAGCGGUUAAACGUGAAGUUAAAAGAGAUGUUAAGACUUAUUAAACAAAAAAUUAGUAAUUUCGUAUGCUAGUCUAUCACUUGCACCUUGCCACGCGAUCUGUCUUUUCAAUUACAAAUGUUAAAAAUAAAAAUAAAUUUACUGAAUUUCCGUCGAUAAAGCUCAAGGUACGUCUUAGGCUUAUAGUCAAUUUUUGGCAAGAUUACGUUGCCCAGCUUUUUUUCAUUCUUCUCCAAAAUUGCAUCGCUACGAGAACAGAGCAAUAGGUUUGUUUUAUUCGACGAAUCUCGAAAUCGGCUUCUCAAUGAAAAUUUCGGUUCCAUUACACUUUUCCCGCGUGAUUUCUGUCGAACCGGAAUACGCCCUGUAGUUGAGUCUCUCUCGAAAUGUUUCUUACAUGACGUGGAUUCCAUUCCGGGCAUUUUCUCGAUAUUGUCCCUCGCAAUUAUCACACCGGUGCAGAGAAUGCCUCUAUUGUCGAAGGGAACGUGAAACGCUGUUUCAUCAGGUCUGGUAUCUGAGAUAUUUUGAGAAAGUUGCAGAAGUUGUUAGAAAUAGAAAUAUUACUGAAAUUACGGUGAUUAGAGAGUACAAAAUAGAAUUAAUAGAAUGACAAUAAUUUUGGCUGAAAACGUUCAAAAUUUUAUCAUUUUGAUUCAAACUCAAGAGCUGGAAAAUUGAAUUUUUAAAUUGACUUACCUCUAAUAAGAUUAGUAAAUUCCUGCUGCUCUAAAUAAAAAGAUUGUCGCUUCAAUUUUGAAAAUCUACCUUUGAGGUUACAUUGAUCUAUUUUUGACAAAGCAUUUUUGUUUCUGUAGUUCCUAAAUGUCCCAUCUUCUAAUGAGUCCAAAGACAACUGCGACAUUUCGAAAACUUUGUAGGCUUGAAAGUAAAUAAAACUGUUUAUCAUACUAAAAUUGUCAAAAGAUAGUAUUUUUAGGUUUUGUGGAUUUCAGGAAAACUCCGGCGAUCUUCAUUUUAUUAAAA